CUGCUGCGCAGUAAAAAAAACGUGUAUCCACCAAGUGGGUGUGUCCAGAGAUCCCGUGUUCACAGUCUGAUCCACCAGAUGGCCUUUGGAAUAUUGUGACAAUAGUCCUCUACACUGUGGCUGCGGUUCUUGAAGCUGGCUGCAGAAUUCCCAUCAGAAGACAUUUUUCUAGUCACAGCUUCCCCAGUUAUAAAAGCUGUAACUAAUUUCAAGCAGAAGCCAUGGGACUGUGAGGCAAGAGCGAGCCGCAGGAGCGGCCUCUUCGAGCUCUGGAGUGGAAUGGCGAGGCAAGAGCGAGCUUCGGCAUUGGCGGCUUCGAGCUCAGGAGUGGAGCAGCAAAAAGCCGUGGGACGAUGAGGCAAGAGCGGCAGCGUCUUCGAGCUCACGAGUGGAACGGCGAGGCAAGAGCGAGCUCGGAGCUAAAGAGGGACAUGAGGGGCCCUCUGGGCAAAGGGCUCUUCCCGGCCAGGGCACCUUCAGGGUGCUGCAGCUGGCUUUGCGCGGGGUGACCUCCCUGUGUGCAGGGCUGGUCUUUGCUGUGCUUGGCCUUUUGCCCUUAUGCUCCUUUGGCUGCCCGGAGAGAGGGGCAACCCCGUAAAGGAGGGUGUGAGCCCCUGUCUUUGCAGCGCAGGGGGAAAUGGAGCUCUCCUGGCCCCCAGCCCAGCUACCCUGUAAGCAGGGCAGGGCUUUUCCCCAGCCCCUGCUAUCCGUUCCCUUAGCCGGCUGCUGUCGAUCCUUAGUGAGUGAUCAUGCUCCCAGCCAACUAUCUUGUAUUUUCACACUGUGUUUAUAUUUCCUGGAAGUCUGUAAUCAUCUUCUUAUCUUUCCCCUAACAUCUUCCUAAUGCCAAGCUGCUGUUUUCUUGCUUAUCACCUCCCAGUCACACUAUCCUUGCACAACAUUCCGUCUGCUGCCUUGCUGUUACAAAAUUUGAUAUUUGAGAACGUUUGGAGGAGCCUGCAACUCCUACAUUAUUAAGUGAAUCUCCCUCCAACUUCAGAAACAUUGGCUAAGAUUUCUGGCCUAGGUUCAGCUCCUCUCAGAGGUUUUAAGCAGUGUACUGAAAUGAGACUUGUGAAAAAAAAAUAAAGCAAUGAAGA